AUUUGGGCCAAGAUUUUAAGUUAUUUAGGGAUGAGUUGGUAAACCGACCACAGAGAAGCAACAAGUGUGCUAAACGCACAAGUGCCUCGCGAGAUGCUGUGGCGGCUGCUUCACAAAGAGAACAUAACUUACUCGUCAUAUAAGUAACAAUUCCAGAGUCCAAGGUGCCUUCAGAACAAUAGGUAGCACUCUCAGCUCCUCCUGCACCAUGCCUGCCUGCAUGCUGCCAUGUUCCUGCCUUGAUGGUAAUGGACUGAACCUCUGAACCUGGUGACACAGAGAGAAGUCACCAUCUAUGAACCAAUAACCAGCUCUUACCAGACACUGGACCUGCUGGUGCAGUGAUCUUAGGCUUUCCAGACUUGAAAACUGUGAGAGAGAAAUUUCUGUUGUUUAUAAACCACACAGUUUGCGGUACUUUGUUAUAGCAGCCCAGAUGGACUAAGAUGGCAACAUCCCUCCCACUCCCACGUGCCACUUUGUGGAUGAUAUUGAGGAGGAGCGAAAGCCUAGGAUUCUCCAAGCAGACAAGCUCUUAUGCUUGGGAGCCAUGGUGGAGUGCUUAUAAACUCUGGCAUAGAAACUCCCAAAGUCAGUUGAAUGCUGGACUUUGAAAAGCAGAAAGGCGAGCCUGCUUUUGUUGAAAGCUCUGAUGGACACACAUGUCUCUAGUUAUAUGCCUAAUAUGCUCAUAUCCCAAGAAAAGAGCCUACCAUUAAUUAAAAUAGUGACAUGUCACACAUGUCACUUGCCUUUGUGGAGUACCAUGCUCAAAGUCCUAGAAUGUCGGGAUCAAUACAUUAGCUUACUUCUUGGCUUUUCAUUUUUCCAGUUUGCUUGACUGCAAAAUGUUACCCUAUGUCAUUCCCCU
rnacentral:lncRNA from 1 species